UUGGUCCUAGACGUUCUGGUUCUGGUCCUAGAUGCAGCAGGUUCCUGAGAGGCAGACUGGGCUCAGAGGCCCACAAGAAACUACAGGCACCACACACGGCGAACAAUGGCCAGUAUUGCCCCUUUGCCCCACUACUGUCAGUUACAGCUGGGGCACGGUGGAGAGAGAUGCAAAAAUUAUCAUCAAGCUUCUUCCCCUGCAGGAUCCAGUGUGGAAAUAUCUAGUAGCUAUAGUUUUGGAGUCAGAAGACUCGAAUUUGAAUCCUGGCACUUUCCAUCUGAGUGGCCUUGGGAAACCUGGGCUUCAGACUUGCAGAACUAAUAUCCAAGAUUUCCUUUGAUCUGUACAGCAGAUGUGCUCAUUACUCCCAUUGGACAGAUGGGAAAACUAAGACUGGGAUGGAGACAGCUCAGAACCCUGAAACCAGAGGCUUAGAAAUAGCAAGGCUUACAGCUAAUGCCUGCAGCCAUCAACCUGGAAAGCAACCCCGUGGAGAAGUAGCCUGGCAACAGCUCCUGCAGGUGAUGUAGCCACAUCUACAGAAGAUCCGAGGGCAGCUAGGAGGUCCAGGGAUAGAACACUGGGCUUGGAGUUAG